rnacentral:rRNA from 1 species
GAUGAACGCUAGCUACAGGCUUAACACAUGCAAGUCGAGGGGCAGCAUGAACAUAGCUUGCUAUGUUUGAUGGCGACCGGCGCACGGGUGCGUAACACGUAUCCAAUCUACCCAUGGCUCGGGGAUAGCCUUUCGAAAGAAAGAUUAAUACCCGAUGGUCUCGGUUUAAUGCAUCUUAGACUGUGUAAAGAUUUAUCGGCGAUGGAUGAGGAUGCGUCUGAUUAGGUAGAUGGCGGGGUAACGGCCCACCAUGCCUACGAUCAGUAGGGGUUCUGAGAGGAAGGUCCCCCACAUUGGAACUGAGACACGGUCCAAACUCCUACGGGAGGCAGCAGUGAGGAAUAUUGGUCAAUGGACGAGAGUCUGAACCAGCCAAGUAGCGUGAAGGAUGACUGCCCUAUGGGUUGUAAACUUCUUUUGUUUGGGAAUAAAGUUCGGGACGUGUCCCGUUUUGUAUGUACCAUUCGAAUAAGCAUCGGCUAAUUCCGUGCCAGCCGCCGCUGUAACAC